rnacentral:lncRNA from 1 species
AUUUUCUUCCUUUUUAUUAACCUCAAAAUCAGACAUUGAUAAGAUGUAAACGAUUGCUUUUGAUCAAAGUCUGUGGAAUGCUUGAUGCAUUAUUAUGAUGUGAAGGUAAUGUGCUUCACACUUUUUGGUGAUGCCAUCGAACUUGGGAAGUGAGGGAGAAUUUUAUUUAAAAAAAAAAAAUGGAACUUGAACCCAAAAAAGGUGUAGCUGCGAGGGGGAUGUUUAUAGAUGGCUUGUACCUUCUCGUGUUUGUAUC